rnacentral:rRNA from 1 species
CCUACGGGGGGCAGCAGUCGAGAAUCAUUCACAAUGGGGGAAACCCUGAUGGUGCGACGCCGCGUGGGGGAAUGAAGGUCUUCGGAUUGUAAACCCCUGUCAUGUGGGAGCAAAUUAAAAAGAUAGUACCACAAGAGGAAGAGACGGCUAACUCUGUGCCAGCAGCCGCGGUAAUACAGAGGUCUCAAGCGUUGUUCGGAAUCACUGGGCGUAAAGCGUGCGUAGGCUGUUUCGUAAGUCGUGUGUGAAAGGCGCGGGCUCAACCCGCGGACGGCACAUGAUACUGCGAGACUAGAGUAAUGGAGGGGGAACCGGAAUUCGCGGUGUAGCAGUGAAAUGCGGAGAUAUCGAGAGGAACACUCGUGGCGAAGGCGGGUUCCUGGACAUUAACUGACGCUGAGGCACGAAGGCCAGGGGAGCGAAAGGGAUUAGAUACCCUGGUAGUC